rnacentral:tRNA from 1 species
GGAGAAGUACUCAAGUUGGUGAAGAGGGCACACUGCUAACGUGCUAGAUCGGGAGACCGGUGCGAGGGUUCGAGUCCCUCCUUCUCCGCCA